rnacentral:rRNA from 1 species
AGAGUUUGAUCCUGGCUCAGGAUGAACGCUAGCGACAGGCUUAACACAUGCAAGUCGAGGGGCAGCGGGGGAGUAGCAAUACUCCCGCCGGCGACCGGCGCACGGGUGAGUAACACGUAUGAAACCUGCCCGUAGCAGGGGGGAUAAGCGGAAGAAAUUCCGUCUAAUACCGCGUAACAACCCUUGGAGGCAUCUCCUCGGGUUUAAAGGAAGCGAUUCCGGCUACGGAUGGUCAUGCGUCGCAUUAGCUUGUUGGCGGGGUAACGGCCCACCAAGGCGACGAUGCGUAGGGGUUCUGAGAGGAAGGUCCCCCACACUGGUACUGAGACACGGACCAGACUCCUACGGGAGGCAGCAGUGAGGAAUAUUGGUCAAUGGCCGCAGGGCUGAACCAGCCAAGUCGCGUGAGGGAUGACGGUCCUAUGGAUUGUAAACCUCUUUUGUCAGGGAGCAAAGGGCGCCACGUGUGGCGUUUUGCGAGUACCUGAAGAAAAAGCAUCGGCUAACUCCGUGCCAGCAGCCGCGGUAAUACGGAGGAUGCGAGCGUUAUCCGGAUUUAUUGGGUUUAAAGGGUGCGCAGGCGGAAUGUCAAGUCAGCGGUAAAAUUUCGGGGCUCAACCCCGUCGUGCCGUUGAAACUGGCGUUCUUGAGUGAGCGAGAAGUAUGCGGAAUGCGUGGUGUAGCGGUGAAAUGCAUAGAUAUCACGCAGAACUCCGAUUGCGAAGGCAGCAUACCGGCGCUCAACUGACGCUCAUGCACGAAAGCGUGGGUAUCGAACAGGAUUAGAUACCCUGGUAGUCCACGCAGUAAACGAUGAAUACUGGCUGUGUGGCCCGACAGAGGGCUGCGUGGCGUAGCGAAAGCGUUAAGUAUUCCACCUGGGGAGUACGUUCGCAAGAAUGAAACUCAAAGGAAUUGACGGGGACCCGCACAAGCGGUGGAGCAUGUGGUUUAAUUCGAAGCAACGCGAAGAACCUUACCAAGUCUUGACAUCCCUCUGACGUAGGUAGAAAUACUUAUUCCCUUCGGGGCAGGGGAGACAGGUGGUGCAUGGUUGUCGUCAGCUCGUGUCGUGAGAUGUUGGGUUAAGUCCCGCAACGAGCGCAACCCUUAUUCUUAGUAGCCAGCGAGUAAAGUCGGGCACUCUAGGGAGACUGCCAGGGAUAACCUGGAGGAAGGUGGGGAUGACGUCAAAUCAUCAUGCCCCUUAUGAUUUGGGCUACACACGUGCUACAAUGGCGUAAACAAAGGGAGGCGAAGGAGCGAUCUGGAGCGAACCCCAAAAAUAACGUCUCAGUUCGGAUUGCAGGCUGCAACCCGCCUGCAUGAAGCCGGAAUCGCUAGUAAUCGCAGAUCAGAAUGCUGCGGUGAAUACGUUCCCGGGUCUUGCACUCACAGCCCGUCAAG